GGAGGGGUGGCCGAGAGGCUUAAGGCAACGGUUUGCUAAACCGUCGUAGUGUUGUAAAGCGCUACCGAGAGUUCGAAUCUCUCCCCCUCCG
rnacentral:tRNA from 1 species